GUUGCUGUUUAUUCACGCCUCAAAUGCCCCAAAUAUUACUGGCAAAAGCAGAAUUAUGAAGGAGAUGACUUCUAAGAAAUAUGCUGUACCGUUGAGAGCUGUAAAAAUGAUAAAGACACCAAUCUAUUAAACUUAGAUACUGGAACUACUUCCCCAAUAACCCAUGGUGAACCUUAAUUAUCAUUCAAGGGAGACUACUCUACUUGAACCUGAAACACACAUUUACCUCCCUUAUACAUAAUAAUUUCGUAUGCUUAACUCUAAACAACAACAAUGGGUGAAUUGGAAAACAAUUAAAUACAUCUUCUUUUCUCAAAUAUCUUUGACUUACAUGACUUUUUAAAUGAAAAUUAUGAAAACGAUAAUGGCAGCGCUUCAAAAUCACAAGAAACAACAUCAGAAGCACCAACAGCAAGAGUAGGAUCAUCAGCACCAACACAACUGGCACCAGCAUCAACACAGGAAGAAUAAGAACAAAACCCAACAUUAACACCAACGAAUAAUUUCAGAUCUGUAAGUGUGGAUAGCUUUCUGCUUGAAAACGAACAUUUAAAUACAAGGAAUAAAUCCGACAAUGACAUCAGACUUUUCAAAACUUUCCUUAACAAUCACAAAAAUGAGGCAAGAAAUAUUGAGAAUAUACCUCCUCAGGAAUUGAACCCUCUGGUCUGCGAGUUUUUGUUGGGUGUGACUAAAAAGAUGGAUCAGAGUAUGAACCUAUCUGUUUGAUGGCAUUUUGAGCUAAAUCGACAGACAUUUAAGGCAAAUGAACUACAGGACACUCUUUGAUAAGUGAUCCUGAAUUUGCCAAAGUGUGGGAAGUAUUAAAAAGUAAGCAAAAAGCUCUGAAACAACAAGGUUACGGAUAUAAAACGCAUCAAUCCCAGGCAAAACAAAUGAACAUAUCGAAGCUAUGUACGCAGCUAAAACUCUGGGAGAAUCGAGCCCAAGAGCUCUAUUACUCUCACUGUGGCUAAUAUGUACAACCCACUUUAGGAUGAGAGCCGGCAAGAAAAUUCACACCCUCUGCUGGGGUGAUGUCAGCCUUGGAGUGGAUUUUGAAACUGGUGAAGAAUUCAUAACCUUCGACACUGAGCGUCACACGAAAAACCGUACUGGUAAAAUUCCUAGGGAUAUAAGUCAUAGGAAAGUCUAGCCGAGGUCAUAUGCAGUUCCCGAACAACAUGACAGAGACCCGGUGCAUCUUUUCAGGCUAUAUGCCGACAAACGCCCUGUUGACAUGAUGACAGAAGACAUCCCCUUAUUCUUAACUCCUGGCAACAAGACACCGGAAUGCUGGUUCAGGAAGUCAGCAAUUGGAAUUAACAAGGUGUACGGCAUAAUGGCCUGAGAUGAAACAGAUGCUGGUAUUCAAGAGCAAAGAAUCACCCCAUACAGUGCAAUAAAACACUUGAUUCAGAAGCUGAAUGAGGAGAAUGUUCCUGCUCAUCAAAUAAUACCGAUUUCAAGGAACACAAAGAUUAAGCAGCUUGAAUAAGUAUAGCAGUUUGAACAAGGAACAGUCAAACAAUAUUUUAAAAAUACUUUCUCAUUUAAACCAAUCAGUUGAAAAGCAGAACCGCACUGCCACUGCGUCAGCCACACCUGCAUCAAGUGAUUUUUCCGAUGGCUCGAUGAUUUUUUUGUCAACUCACAUUUCCAGGGCAAUGUAACAUUUAAUUUUCACAACUCUGAAUCUCACACGGGCCUUUCCGAGACACAAAACGUAGUCAAUCACCAGAGGCAAUCUCCAUCCCGUACACCGGCGGUAACCGUAGAACGUAGUACAGCGACGCAACAAGCGAAUCCGUCUUAUUGCAGACAGUGACAGUGAUUGAUUUCGAAACCAUUUAGCACAAGAACACUGUUGAAAUAUGUCCGCGUUUCUAGUUCAAUCCAGUUAUGUGUUAUUAAUCCAACAAGUCGUAGCAGUGUUGUUCAACAUGGCGAGCACAUUCGUAACUUUGAGUUUAGUUGAAUAAACUAAUUACUAAGCCAGUAUAUGCAACACUAUUAAUUUCAUAAUAAUUUAAAUUGAACUAUUGUUUGUUCUAAUAUUGAAUGUAUAAAGUAUAAAAUUUGAAAAAGAUAUAUCUUGAAUAAAACAUUGAUAUUAAUACA